AUCGGCCCAAAGAUUUAUUUAAAAGCCUCAAAACUUAAUUAUUUCCCCACCUUAUAUCUCCAAUUUAAUUAAGAAGCCCCAACAAAAUAAAAAGAGCCCAAACAAAACAUUUAAUUAUUGAGUCCCAAUUCUUUUAAAAACAAAAGGACCAACUUAAAUAAAAGCCCAAAAUUUAUACUCCCAUCAUAAACACACGUACACACAGCCAUCCCACUUUUCUUAAAACAAAAAGACAAGGACUAAAAUUUUAAGAGCAUAAAAUAAUUAAGAACCAACUAUUCCUACAUUCCAGAACUCGUUGCCCUCUUUUAUUUUUAGCCCAAAAAUAGAGUAAAUUUCGAAAUCGGGCCUUCGUUCAAUUAUUUACUGUAGCCCCAAAUAUUUAGAAGCAGUUGGGCCCAAUUUAUAUUUGCCUAGCCCAAAUAAUUAAGUCAGGAACCUAAUAAAAAAAAAUACACACUCAAUAUACCCUCACUUUAUCUUUCUCCCCCAUUUCACAAAAGAAUGAACACUCUCCCCCCCCCACACCUUGCUGCCGCCGCCGUUGGAGCCUCCCUCCGGUGCCGCUGUCGCGCCACCGCCACCUCCGACGGUGGUCCUUCCUCCUCAUCAUCUCUCUUUCUCUCUCUCUCUCUCUCGCUCCACCGCCGGCAUGCAGAGGCAGCGGCUUCGCCGUCCCCCUCCCGGCAGUCCGGCCGUCUCCGGACAGCAGCAGAUCGGUGCUCCUCUCUCUCUCUCUCUCUCUCUCUCCUUCUCCUCUCAUCUCUCCCUCGGCUACGCUCACGCCGCCGCCGUCGCCGGUUCGCGUCAGCCGCCGUCGCCGAGGGCCUUGCCCAUUCGCUGACGUUGCGAAGGCCGCUGCUUCCUCGCCGACCUCCGAGAGGUUGUGAAAUUAGUGACGUAUCGGGAUGAGGGCUGUCCUUGGCUGUAUCCGGGCUGCCGAAGAGCCAUCGCCGGAAAUCCGGCAGAUUCGUAUUCACGAGAUAAGCUCAUUUUUUUAUAGUUAUUAAGAUUUUACUUUGAUUCUAGUUACUUUAUUUGGUGAAUUGUGACUAUAUGCCUUAUUCCGAACACUCAAUGGUGAAAUAUGUUGUUUUAAAUUUGUUUUGGCAGAUUCUACUUCCAACUAUAUAAUACAUAUAUGUAUAUAUAUGAGAAAGAACAGAAGGGUUUGGGAUUUACCUGAAGAAUAAAGUGUUAUAGGAUUGUAAUGCUCGACUAUACAAUUAUUAGCCGCCCUUCACCUCCGAUUUCUAUGUGGAAGUUUCUUUAUUUUUGGGAGGUUAAAUUGACGAUGUGGGGUGUGAAAAUGAAACUUAUCCUCCAAGAAAAAAAAAAUAUUCUGUCAGAGGAUUGAUAUGUUUUGAUAGGAUUUCUUCUGCCAUCCAAUUAAUGCAGUAUUUAAUGUUGCUGAUAUUACUUGAUUCUAUCGGAUAUGUCCAUAUCUCUUUCUCUUUUUUUUUAUUUAAAUUUUAUUUAAUUAUUUUAGUAAUUAUUUGAGUGUUUAUUUAAUUUGGUGUAGGAAAACAAAUAACAUCCAUAGUUUUCCCUGAUGAUGUACCGGACUUUCUUGGAGUGCAAGCACGACCGUUGAACGGGCUGCGUGAACUUUUCUCUAAUUGUAAUAGAUAAGGAUUUGAUAAUUUGUAAAGUAGUAAUUUAGCGGACUUCGAAGAUAUGCCGGACAUUAUAAAUAUUUAUUUGGUGUUA